rnacentral:rRNA from 1 species
AGCUUGUUGGUGAGGUAAUGGCUCACCAAGGCGACGACGGGUAGCCGGCCUGAGAGGGCGACCGGCCACACUGGGACUGAGACACGGCCCAGACUCCUACGGGAGGCAGCAGUGGGGAAUAUUGCACAAUGGGCGAAAGCCUGAUGCAGCGACGCCGCGUGAGGGAUGACGGCCUUCGGGUUGUAAACCUCUUUCAGCAGGGAAGAAGCGAAAGUGACGGUACCUGCAGAAGAAGCGCCGGCUAACUACGUGCCAGCAGCCGCGGUAAUACGUAGGGCGCAAGCGUUGUCCGGAAUUAUUGGGCGUAAAGAGCUCGUAGGCGGCUUGUCACGUCGGGUGUGAAAGCCCGGGGCUUAACCCCGGGUCUGCAUUCGAUACGGGCUAGCUAGAGUGUGGUAGGGGAGAUCGGAAUUCCUGGUGUAGCGGUGAAAUGCGCAGAUAUCAGGAGGAACACCGGUGGCGAAGGCGGAUCUCUGGGCCAUUACUGACGCUGAGGAGCGAAAGCGUGGGGAGCGAACAGGAUUAGAUACCCUGGUAGUCCACGCCGUAAACGGUGGGAACUAGGUGUUGGCGACAUUCCACGUCGUCGGUGCCGCAGCUAACGCAUUAAGUUCCCCGCCU